rnacentral:hammerhead_ribozyme from 1 species
AUCCAGCUGACGAGUCCCAAAUAAGACGAAACCACCGUUCAGUGAU